AUAAUAAUAAUAAUAAUAAUAAUAAUAAUAAUAAAAAAAAAAAAAAAAAGAAAAACCGUCGCUCGUGAACAACAAUUUAAUCGAUUUUUUUCUUUUUCUCGAAAAUAUCUUGGAUCUUACGAACAUCUACGUUUCUGAAAUUGUAUCGUCUUUUCUUUUAAUCUGUACUCUCCCUCUUUCCCCCACCACACCCCCCUUUCCCUCUCUCUCUCUCUCUCUCACUCUCUCUCUCUAUCUCUCUUUCUCUCUCUUACUCAUACAUCCGUAAAUGUUGCACAAUGAGAAAUGUGAGAUAACUACAAAAUACAUUUAAUUAUACCACUGUAUCGUCGUUGUUAGUUCUGUACGGCGUAUAUCUUAUUUUAAAGCUUACAAUACGGUCUUCGAAUAGAUAUCAUCGUUGAAGUGAAGGCACAAUUCCUACAGUAUAGUGCAGUACAGCUCGCACGCAGUCAGUCUAUCGGCGACCGUAGCGAGGAGAACACGUUAGCUUCUUUUAUUAGAUUUUUUCUCUCUUUUUUUUCUCUCUCUCUCUCUCUCUCUCUCUCCUCUCUCUCUCUCUCUCUCACUCUAUUUAUCUAUUUAUCUGUCCUUCUCUCUCUCCUUCUCUCCCUCUUUCUCUCUCUAAGGGAUAGAAAAUAUUGCUCGUGUCGAGAUUUAUACUUACAUAAACACACACACGCACAUAUGUACACAUAUAUACAUAGAUACACAUAUACAUAAACACAUAAACAUAUACACACACAUAUGUCAUACAACAAUUUACUUUCUUCAAUCGUACUCGUUCUUAUCAUCGUUUUUUUAUUCUCUGAUACGAGAAAGAAUUUGUAAACGACGGAAAAAAAAAAAAAACAAAUAUAUAAACGGCAAUACGAUCAUUGAUUUAUCGACGUUUAAGUGAGUAUUAAAUUGUUUCUCGAUCAUCUAUAAAAAUAUUAUUUUUCUGUUUACUUGUACGUCAGAGUGAAGAGUGGUAUAUUCGUGCGUGCGCGUGUGUUUUCCGUGUGUUUUUAUUUUUUGAUCAACCUUUCCCUACCCUCUUACCCCCUGCUCCUCCUUCCAUCCAAUUCCUCCCCCUACCCUCUCCCUUCCUUCUCUAUCAUCUCAAUCCACACUCUUCUCUCACUAACGCGCUGAUGUCAUUCGUAAACUAGUUCUUCUUUAUUAUAUCAAUCGCAACAAUCUACGUUUGAUUUGUACGUAAAAGGAUUCACUUUUGAUUAACAAUUGAUAGAAAUUUUGUCUUCUUCACAAUUAAUUUUAAUGAUUCCACGAAGAGCGUACAAAUUUUGCAAAAGGAAAAUUAAAAGAAAUUUUCUGCUUGAUCAACGAUAAUACGUAUAAGUAUUUGCCGAUCGUGUUAUAUUCGUAAUAGAAAAUGAAAAGGACAAAAAAAAAAGAAAGAAAGAAAGAAAGAAAGAAAGAAAGAAUUACGUGAGCUUGAUGCCUUUAUCGGAAGGUGUAGACGGGGUGGAGGGAAUGUAACAACUUUGCGAAAGAAUAAGAUUUAUUCGUUAGAAAGAAAGACAGAGAGAGAGAGAGAGAGAGAGAGAGAGAGAGAGAGAGAGAGAGAGAGAGAGAGAGAGAGAGAGAGAGAGAGAGAGAGAGAGAGAGAGAUAUUAUAUAAAUUAUUAUAUUUAUACCAUUUAUAUUGUUUAUAUUAAUCAUUGUUCUUUUAAAGAUCAGUUCAGUUCUUUCUUUUUUUUCUUUUCUUUUUUUUUUUGUUUCUUUUUUUUCUUUUCUUUUCUUUUCUUUUUUAAUCUAUUUCAUCACAUACAUUUGUCAUUAUUUUUCUCGAAAUUUAUCAUCUUCUGAUAUUUCUUCGUGAAACGAUAAACAAAAAAAACAACAUAAGGUAAAAGAUAUUAGAUGUUUAUUUAGACGUCUUCUUCCGUCACUGCUUGGAUGAAAUAAACGCCCAGUGAAAGUCAAUCGUUUCUUAGAGAGACCGACCAGUGUGUUAUAAUGCUGCCUGUUUGCAAACCGAGCGUCCCCAAUUUGUUAUUGAAAAAUUUGUAACUUUAAGUCUUUGCGUACGCGUAUGAAGAAGAAAAGGCAAACAAACAAACAAACAAACAAAACAAUAAAAAUGGAAACAAUAAAUAUCAAUCGGAAUUGCAUGAUCGGCGAACGUGGAAUAAAGAUUUGCGUGAUUAUGUAGGAGCAAGAAGAAGAAGAAGAAAAAAAAAAGGGGAAAAAAAGGGAGAAAAAGAAAAGGAAGAAAAAAAGCAAAAAAAAAAAAAAAAGAAGAAAGAAAAGAACUAUUGUAAUUAAUCGUAUAACCUUAUUAUACCAUAAAUACGCUUCUAAAGUCUCCUCUCUAAAAUAGAUUCAAUCGAAUGAAAAUUUUAGCUCGGAGAUCUGAAAUGGUCGAAUAAAUGAAACAGAGGAAAAAGAGGAGUAGAGGACAAAGGAGAGGGAAUUUUUUGAAUGAAAAAGAAGGGGACGAGGAUGAAGUGAAGGAGCAGGGAAGGAGAUAUGAAUUUUUAUGAACGAACAUGUUACAUCUUCAAUGACGUAAACAGAGAGAUGGGGAGAGAGAAACAGAGAGAGAGAGAGAGAGAGAGAGAGAGAGAGAAAGAGAGAGAGAAAACAUAAUAUAUUAUCAAUAUCUACGUUUUUCAUUUCUUUUCCUUCUCUUUUUCUUUGAUCCUUUUUUUCUUUCUUUCUUUCUUUUUUUUUUUUUUUUGAUUUUAUUUUUCUUUUAUUUUACAGAUGAACGAGAGAGAUAAA